UUGGGAAUUUGUACCUUUACCCUGAAUGCGCCCAAUCUUGUCUGAUCUUGGAAGCUAAGCAGGGUUGGGACUAGUUAGUACUUGGAUGGAGAAAAUUUCAUAGCUUGACUUCCAGC
rfam:Heterocephalus glaber contig2526, whole genome shotgun sequence.